GCAUGAUAAAAUUAAUCAGGAAAACAGGCACAUUUGCCCUCAACAAUUCCACAGAAUAAAAUUUUAAAGAAAAUCACUUAUGAGCUACGGGUGGGGAAUGCUCGGAAUCCUAUACACUCCAAGAGAUGCAUUGUUGAUGAGAGCAACUCGGAUAAUAUAGGUCCACGGGUAGGUGAUGGUUAACCAGCAAUGAACAUGCUUGUAUGUUCGUUAGCAGUUUCCUGUACGCUACGAGAUCUUUUCUUCCCCAAUAAUGUUGAUACCUACAAGUACAGCAUUAACAACUUGUGUAUGUCCAUUACAACUUGUACAAUAUGGUCACCCAGCACUGUUGGCAACCUCUGCAGCACGCUGUCUCAUCAUCUCCAUAACAGCAGCCCGCCGCCGAGAAUCAGCUUGCUGUUGCAGCCUUCGAAGAUGUUCUUUCAAAUCUCUGCAUCGCGGCACAUGACACUCGGAUACUUUGCAAGCACGGGCAUGGAGUUGAAGAAGGUACCACAUUUUCUUACAGAGAACACAACCUCCUGAAGCACGUACUUUGCACUGUAUACCAUGGCGGAAAAGCCCCUUAACUUUCCGACAGUUUGGAUAUUGACAAUGGGAAGAGCGGCACUGAGAUGCAUGCACCAAGAGGUCAAGCAUCUUCCUAAGCUGCAGAACUCGUUGUUGUCUAGCUUCUUUAUUCUGAGCAUCACGCUCAGCAAUGGA
rnacentral:misc_RNA from 1 species